rnacentral:rRNA from 1 species
UACGUAGGGUGCGAGCGUUGUCCGGAAUUAUUGGGCGUAAAGGGCUCGUAGGCGGUUUGUCGCGUCGGGAGUGAAAAUCCAGGGCUUAACUCUGGACUGGCUUCCGAUACGGGCAGACUAGAGGUAUGCAGGGGAGAACGGAAUUCCUGGUGUAGCGGUGAAAUGCGCAGAUAUCAGGAGGAACACCGGUGGCGAAGGCGGUUCUCUGGGCCGAUACUGACGCUGAGGAGCGAAAGCCAGGGGAGCAAACGGG